AUGAAAAUAUAAAAUCUUCUUCUAAGUUAGCCAAGCAAGUUAGCUCUAGAGUUCGCCUUUUGGAUUGUGCGCAGAAAAAUGUUAGUGCCACCCUUGCGCAAGUUCAAAAUCUUCUGGACUUACAGUGGUGCUACGAAGGGAUCGAAGAAGCCAUAAAAAAAGAAGACUAUGAUAAUGCGGCCGUAUUCAUUGAAAAAUUUUUAACCUUUGACCAAUCUUUACUCGAUUUGGAGUUGAACGAUACUUCUACUCUUUCCAACAAUGUUAAGAAAGUAAUACAACAAAUCAAAAUCGAUUAUGAGCAAACUUUGCAGUCAAGUAAUAAUGAGGAUCUAAGCAGAUAUAUGAAGUUACUACGAACAAUUGGUCAAGAAGAAUAUGGCCUUGAAAAGUUCGUCCAGUGCGAGCGCUCUCGAAUUGCCGAACGGGC